rnacentral:rRNA from 1 species
AGAGUUUGAUCCUGGCUCAGAGCGAACGCUGGCGGCGUGCUUAACACAUGCAAGUCGAACGCGCAACUCUUUGUAGCAAUACAGAGGGCGGGCGCGUGGCGAACGGGUGCGUAACACGUGGGUAACCUUCCUUCUUGUGGGGAAUAACCCGUCGAAAGACGGGCUAAUACCGCAUGACAUUCCGGUGGCUUCGGCUGCCG